rnacentral:siRNA from 1 species
UCAUCUUUGCAUAUGAGGUUGA